GACGAACGCUGGCGGCGUGCUUAACACAUGCAAGUCGAACGGAAAGGCCCUGCUUUUGUGGGGUGCUCGAGUGGCGAACGGGUGAGUAACACGUGAGUAACCUGCACUUGACUUUGGGAUAACUUCAGGAAACUGGGGCUAAUACCGGGUAGGAGCUCCUGCUGCAUGGUGGUGGUUGGAAAGAUUCGGCGGUUGGGGAUGGACUCGCGGCUUAUCAGCUUGUUGGUGGGGUAGUGGCUUACCAAGGCUUUGAGGGGUAGCCGGCCUGAGAGGGUGACCGGCGACAUGGGUACUGAGAUACGGCGCAGACGCCUACGGGCGGCAGUGGGGGGGAAUAUUGCGGAAUGGGGGGAAGCCUGAGGUAGCAACGCCGGGUGCGGGAUGACGGCUUUCGGGUGGUAAACCGAUUUCGCCUGUGAUGAAGAGUGAGUGACGGUAAUGGGUAAGGAAGCAACGGCUAACUACGUG
rnacentral:rRNA from 1 species